rnacentral:other from 1 species
GGUGGGCUGCGAGGUGCGUUAGGAGCAUUUAUCCCAGGGCCCUAUAAGAUCCUAUGGGAGCUGACCCUGGCGGGGACUGUGGUCUCCGUCACUUGGCGCCCACCUACAUUACGUAGGGAGACCGGGAUCUAAGCUCCGACGGCCAUCGCGGCCCUACC